rnacentral:rRNA from 1 species
CCUACGGUGUGCAGCAGUGGGGAAUAUUGCACAAUGGAGGAAACCCUGAUGCAGCGACGCCGCGUGAGCGAAGAAGUAUUUCGGUAUGUAAAGCUCUAUCAGCAGGGAAGAAAAUGACGGUACCUUAGUAAGAAGCUCCGGCUACAUACGUGCCAGCAGCCGCGGUAAUACGUAUGGAGCAAGCGUUACACGGAUUUACUGGGCGUAAAGGGAGCGUAGGCGGCCUGCCAAGUCUGAUGUGAAAUACCGUGGCUCAACCCCGGGGCUGCAUUGGAAACGGGCAGUCUUGAGUGCAGGAGAGGCAGGCGGAAUUCCUAGUGUAGCGGUGAAAGGCGUAGAUAUUAGGAGGAACACCAGUGGCGAAGGCGGCCUGCUGGACGGUGACUGACGCUGAGGCUCGAAAGCGUGGGGAGCAAACAGGAUUAGAUACCCUAGUAGUC